CUGGGAGAUAAAAAAGCAACUUUUCUCCCGAAACGACUUUUGGAGCGGUCGUCUGCAUGGAAUGGUUCAGGUCGACUGGAGCCUAGAGUCUCAUGAUCAUAAACUAAGAGGUCUAGAAGCGGGCCAAGUAUUUGUUUGACGGCGAGAAAAACGCGAUGUCGUUGACAAACUCAAAAGUGGCAUUGCCAGGAAAAAAAUAUCCCCGUCAAGUAAGCAUCGAAAAAAGUCAAAGCGUAGCCUCGAGAAAGAGUUGAACCUGGCGAGUUCCUUUCACACGUAGUCACACGCAGCAAUAUGGUGGAAUGUAUAAUAACUCAUGUUAACUAGUUGAGAAACCAUGGAAAUGGCUUCGUA